rnacentral:lncRNA from 1 species
GCUGGCUCUUCGCACGCGGCCAUGGCCGACUCCGAGCUGCAGCUGGUUGAGCAGCGGAUCCGCAGCUUCCCCGACUUCCCCACCCCAGGCGUGGUAUUCAGGUGCACGCACAGGCCGCCCUCGUGGCGCCCCGACCUGCGGGCCUACGGAUGGGAGCGCGUGGCCCGCGACCUCCGGGCGGGCGGGGCGGGAACCCUCGUCUUUCGCCCCCGGGGCCCUGCCCUCCUUCGGCCCCGGCGUCACCAGGCCUGUCCUUGGGUCCAGGGACAUCUCGCCCGUCCUGAAGGACCCCGCCUCCUUCCGCGCCGCCAUCGGCCUCCUGGCGCGACACCUGAAGGCGACCCACGGGGGCCGCAUCGACUACAUCGCAGGCGAGCCUAGACUCCCGAGGCUUCCUCUUUGGCCCCUCCCUGGCCCAGGAGCUUGGACUGGGCUGCGUGCUCAUCCGAAAGCGGGGGAAGCUGCCAGGCCCCACUCUGUGGGCCUCCUAUUCCCUGGAGUACGGGAAGGCUGAGCUGGAGAUUCAGAAAGACGCCCUGGAGCCAGGACAGAGGGUGGUCGUCGUGGAUGAUCUGCUGGCCACUGGUGUAUGAGUGACCACAGGGCCUCCCAGCCCAACAUCUCCAGCUGGAUCCCAGGGAAAUAUCAGCCUUGGGCAACUGCAGUGACCAGGGGCACCGGCUGCCCACAGGGAACACAUUCCUUUGCUGGGGUUCAGCGCCUCUCCUGGGGCUGGAAGUGCCAAAGCCUGGGGCAAAGCUGUGUUUCAGCCACACUGAACCCAAUUACACACAGCGGGAGAACGCAGUAAACAGCUUUCC